AGGACAAGCUAGAGGCUCCAAUGACAGACGAGAUCUCCAUUGUCCUCAGCACCAUCAAUAGUCAGAACAAGUGAGUGGUGAGAGUUUGAAUGAAAAGAAAAGCAACCAACCAAAUCCUGGAUUUGUUAUUGAAUAGUUUAAGCAAGUGACAGUUUCACGCAUCACACUCAGCAGGAUACAAAGAACUACUGAAAUCCCAGAAUGGGGUACUUCUUAAUUUCACACGCUAGGAGAAGAUAAUCUUUCUAACCGGACAGAGCCAGAGCAGGUGCAGAGGCUUGUGAACCUGGAUGUGCAGUCAUAAUGUCUCCUUAGCUCACCUGGGAAAGACAAAGAAAUGAUCAAAAGUCAUCCGCAACAGAACUUAGAGGAACCUCAUGGGAACAUCAACUUGCAAUAUCUUUUAAACUGCCUUUGGAUAAAUCAGGAGGGGUAGUAA